UCAAGAAACUUCCACAAUGGGCGAAAGCCUGAUGGAGCGACGUCGCGUGAUGGACGAAGUGCUUCGGCACGUAAACAUCUUUUAUGUGGGAUGAAAUUAUUGACAGUACCACAUGAAUAAGGGGCUCCUAACUCUGUGCCAGCAGGAGCGGUAAUACAGAGGCCCCAAGCGUUAUCCGGAAUCACUGGGCGUAAAGGGUGUCGAGGCGGUUGUAUUAGUCGUUCGUAAAAUCUACGAGCUUAACUUGUAGGCGGCGAACGAAACGGUACGACUUGAGGUUUGGAGAGGUGCGUGGAACUCACGGUGUAGGGGUGAAAUCCGUUGAUAUCGUGGGGAACACCAAAGGCGAAGGCAGCGCACUGGCCAAAAUCUGACGCUCACACACGAAAAGCUAGGGUAGCGAAGAGGAUUAGAUACCCAGGUAGUCCCUGAGCGGGCUGGCAAGGCGCAU
rnacentral:rRNA from 1 species